rnacentral:rRNA from 1 species
CAGCCGCCGCGGUAAUACGUAGGGUGCAAGCGUUAAUCGGAAUUACUGGGCGUAAAGCGUGCGCAGGCGGUUAUAUAAGACAGAUGUGAAAUCCCCGGGCUCAACCUGGGAACUGCAUUUGUGACUGUAUAGCUAGAGUACGUCAGAGGGUGAUGGAAUUCCGCGUGUAGCAGUGAAAUGCGUAGAUAUGCGGAGGAACACCGAUGGCGAAGGCAAUCCCCUGGGCCUGUACUGACGCUCAUGCACGAAAGCGUGGGGAGCAAACAGGAUUAGAUACCCGAGUAGUCCCUGUCUCUUAUAC